rnacentral:rRNA from 1 species
UAGGGAAUCUUCGGCAAUGGGGGGAACCCUGACCGAGCAACGCCGCGUGAGUGAAGAAGGUUUUCGGAUCGUAAAGCUCUGUUGUUAAGGAAGAACGAGUGUGAGAAUGGAAAGUUCAUGCUGUGACGGUACUUAACCAGAAAGGGACGGCUAACUACGUGCCAGCAGCCGCGGUAAUACGUAGGUCCCGAGCGUUGUCCGGAUUUAUUGGGCGUAAAGCGAGCGCAGGCGGUUUAGAAAGUCUGAUGUGAAAGCCCACGGCUCAACCGUGGAGGGUCAUUGGAAACUAAUAAACUUGAGUGCAGGAGAGAAAAGUGGAAUUCCUAGUGUAGCGGUGAAAUGCGUAGAGAUUAGGAGGAACACCGGUGGCGAAAGCGGCUUUUUGGCCUGCAACUGACACUGAGGCGCGAAAGCGUGGGGAGCAAACAGG